rnacentral:rRNA from 1 species
UACGUAGGGUGCAAGCGUUGUCCGGAAUUAUUGGGCGUAAAGAGCUCGUAGGCGGCCUGUUGCGUCCGCUGUGAAAGCCCGGGGCUUAACCCCGGGUCGGCAGUGGAUACGGGCAGGCUAGAGGUAGGUAGGGGAGAAUGGAAUUCCCGGUGUAGCGGUGAAAUGCGCAGAUAUCGGGAGGAACACCGGUGGCGAAGGCGGUUCUCUGGGCCUGUACUGACGCUGAGGAGCGAAAGCGUGGGGAGCGAACAGG